rnacentral:rRNA from 1 species
CGGGAGUGGGGGGCGGCUUACCAUGCAGUCGAGCGGAACGAUGGUAGCUUGCUACCAGGCGUCGAGCGGCGGACGGGUGAGUAAUACUUAGGAAUCUACCUAGUAGUGAGGGAUAGCUCGGGGAAACUCGAAUUAAUACCGCAUACGACCUACGGGAGAAAGGGGGCAACUUGUUGCCCUCGCUAUUAGAUGAGCCUAAGUCGGAUUAGCUAGAUGGUGGGGUAAAGGCCUACCAUGGCGACGAUCUGUAGCUGGUCUGAGAGGAUGAUCAGCCACACCGGGACUGAGACACGGCCCGGACUCCUACGGGAGGCAGCAGUGGGGAAUAUUGGACAAUGGGGGAAACCCUGAUCCAGCCAUGCCGCGUGUGUGAAGAAGGCCUUUUGGUUGUAAAGCACUUUAAGCAGUGAAGAAGACUCCUCGGUUAAUACCCGUGGACGAUGACAUUAGCUGCAGAAUAAGCACCGGCUAACUCUGUGCCAGCAGCCGCGGUAAUACAGAGGGUGCAAGCGUUAAUCGGAAUUACUGGGCGUAAAGCGAGCGUAGGUGGCUUGAUAAGUCAGAUGUGAAAUCCCCGGGCUUAACCUGGGAACUGCAUCUGAAACUGUUAGGCUAGAGUAGGUGAGAGGAAGGUAGAAUUCCAGGUGUAGCGGUGAAAUGCGUAGAGAUCUGGAGGAAUACCGAUGGCGAAGGCAGCCUUCUGGCAUCAUACUGACACUGAGGCUCGAAAGCGUGGGUAGCAAACAGGAUUAGAUACCCUGAUAGUCCACGCCGUAAACGAUGUCUACUAGUCGUUGGGUCCCUUGAGGACUUAGUGACGCAGCUAACGCAAUAAGUAGACCGCCUGGGGAGUACGGCCGCAAGGUUAAAACUCAAUGAAUUGACGGGGGCCCGCACAAGCGGUGGAGCAUGUGUUUAUUCGAUGCAACGCGAGAGCCUUACCUGGUCUUGACUAUCUAGAAUCCUGCAGAGAUGCGGGAGGUGCCUUCGGGAAUUU